AGUUUGAUCAUGGCUCAGAACGAACGCUGGCGGCAGGCCUAACACAUGCAAGUCGAGCGCACCUUCGGGUGAGCGGCGGACGGGUUAGUAACGCGUGGGAACGUACCCUUUUCUACGGAAUAGCCUCGGGAAACUGAGAGUAAUACCGUAUAAGCCCUUCGGGGGAAAGAUUUAUCGGGAAAGGAUCGGCCCGCGUUAGAUUAGAUAGUUGGUGGGGUAAUGGCCUACCAAGUCUACGAUCUAUAGCUGGUUUUAGAGGAUGAUCAGCAACACUGGGACUGAGACACGGCCCAGACUCCUACGGGAGGCAGCAGUGGGGAAUCUUAGACAAUGGGCGCAAGCCUGAUCUAGCCAUGCCGCGUGUGUGAUGAAGGUCUUAGGAUCGUAAAGCACUUUCGCCAGGGAUGAUAAUGACAGUACCUGGUAAAGAAACCCCGGCUAACUCCGUGCCAGCAGCCGCGGUAAUACGGAGGGGGUUAGCGUUGUUCGGAAUUACUGGGCGUAAAGCGUACGUAGGCGGAUCAGAAAGUUGGGGGUGAAAUCCCAGGGCUCAACCCUGGAACUGCCUCCAAAACUCCUGGUCUUGAGUUCGAGAGAGGUGAGUGGAAUUCCAAGUGUAGAGGUGAAAUUCGUAGAUAUUUGGAGGAACACCAGUGGCGAAGGCGGCUCACUGGCUCGAUACUGACGCUGAGGUACGAAAGUGUGGGGAGCAAACAGGAUUAGAUACCCUGGUAGUCCACACCGUAAACGAUGAAUGCCAGUCGUCGGGCAGUAUACUGUUCGGUG
rnacentral:rRNA from 1 species